GACGAACGCUGGCGGCGUGCUUAACACAUGCAAGUCGAACGGAAAGGCCCUGCUUGCAGGGUACUCGAGUGGCGAACGGGUGAGUAACACGUGGGUGAUCUGCCCUGCACUUCGGGAUAAGCCUGGGAAACUGGGUCUAAUACCGGAUAGUAGCCAUUUUUAGUGUGAUGGUUGGAAAGUUUUUUCGGUGUAGGAUGAGCUCGCGGCCUAUCAGCUUGUUGGUGGGGUAAUGGCCUACCAAGGCGGCGACGGGUAGCCGGCCUGAGAGGGUGGACGGCCACAUUGGGACUGAGAGACGGCCCAGACUCCGACGGGAGGAAGCAGUGGGGAAUAUUGCACAAUGGGCGCAAGCCUGAUGCAGCGACGCCGCGUGGGGGAUGACGGCCUUCGGGUUGUAAACUCCUUUCGCUAGGGACGAAGCUUUUUGUGACGGUACCUAGAUAAGAAGCACCGGCUAACUACGUG
rnacentral:rRNA from 1 species